AGUCCCGCGUUCCUGUGAGGCCUCCGCGCCGCUCCGGAUGCCGCUCCUCUAGGCGCGAGGUCUUCCAGGGCCCUGCCCGGGCGCGCCGUUCGGGUCUAGGCGGGCCUCCUUCCCGGUGCUGACCCGGGCCUGUGCGAAGCGGGAUCUCUCGGGCGUCCCUCUCUUUGUCACCCCUUCCCCCGCCACGUGGAGGUGCCUCAGCCGCCUGAGCUCAGCCUGCCUGCGCCUGGAUUUUUAAGAAGGGGAAACCAAGGACAGAAGCCGCCCCCUAGGACGACGCGCCCGAGCCACCGGGAGGGUCUGAACGGCGGGGGCCUCCUGGAGCGCCUUCAGCGCCUCGUGUUUUCUUUCCUUGGGUCCCUGUUAGCGUCGCCGCAUGCACAGCGCUCCCUGUCAUUUGGUCCCUGAGCUUGGGUGUUUUUCACAUUUCAUCUAAAGAUGCAGACCCCUGCUAAGUCUAGCCAGCCUUCACCCUGAAUCUUGAACUUAAGAUGCUGCAUUUUCCACCCACCCCCACCCCUCUAGUAGCUGCAGAUUGACAAGCGGCUUUUCCCAACCAGAUGACAUUUUGGCUGCAAGAAUCCGUGGCCCGUUCUUGCCUCUGUGCAGCCAAGCUCCUUCGCUGUCUUUCUCAAACUGCAGUCCUGAGUUCAGCUUCGCUUAGCAGUGACCAUCCCAGAGGUGGGUAAUCCAACACUGGAUCCACUCACUGCAACCGGAGCUGGGGAUGGCAUGCCCUCUGCUUCCACUAACCGAGUGGCCUGCACCACAUUAAACUCUCCAGCUUUGAUUAUGUAAAAAUACAGAGAUCUUUUAUUUAUAGAGUUCCUACUGUUUCUCAGAGUAUUUAAACAUUUCUGCGGCAAGUAUGGAAGAAAAGACAAAUGAAAGCCCCAAAUUGUGACAAGAGGAGUAAGUAGCAAUGCCACUGUCAUCAGACAACCUGACUUGAAUUCCAACUCCCCUUCUUACAGGCUUGUGAUCUUGGCCAAAUGUCUGCUUCUCAGGGUUGUUUGGGAUAAUGUAUACAUAGAAAGCCCUUUAAAAAAAAAAAGUUAUCCCAGCACUUUGGGAGGCCGAAGCAGGCCGAUCACCUGAGGUCAGGAGUUCGAGACCAGCCUGACCAACAUGGCGAAACCCCGUCUCUACUAAAAAUACAAAAAUUAGCCGGGCGUGGUGGUGGGCGCCUGUAAUCCCAACU
rnacentral:lncRNA from 1 species